rnacentral:rRNA from 1 species
AUUGAACGCUGGCGGCAGGCCUAACACAUGCAAGUCGAGCGGGGUUUUCGGACCUAGCGGCGGACGGGUGAGUAAUGCGUAGGAAGCUACCCGAUAGAGGGGGAUACCAGUUGGAAACGACUGUUAAUACCGCAUAAUGUCUACGGACCAAAGUGUGGGACCUUCGGGCCACAUGCUAUCGGAUGCGCCUACGUGGGAUUAGCUAGUUGGUGGGGUAAUGGCUCACCAAGGCGACGAUCCCUAGCUGGUUUGAGAGGAUGAUCAGCCACAAUGUGAACUGAGACACGGUCCAGACUCCUACGGGAGGCAGCAGUGGGGAAUAUUGGACAAUGGGCGCAAGCCUGAUCCAGCCAUGCCGCGUGUGUGAAGAAGGCCUUCGGGUUGUAAAGCACUUUCAGUAGGGAGGAAGGGUGUUGUGUUAAUAGCACAGCAUUUUGACGUUACCUACAGAAGAAGCACCGGCUAACUCUGUGCCAGCAGCCGCCGUAAAAC